AUUGAACGCUGGCGGCAGGCUUAACACAUGCAAGUCGAGCGGAGAUGAGGUGCUUGCACCUUAUCUUAGCGGCGGACGGGUGGGUAAUGCUUAGGAAUCUGCCUAUUAGUGGGGGACAACAUUCCGAAAGGAAUGCUAAUACCGCAUACGUCCUACGGGAGAAAGCAGGGGAUCUUCGGACCUUGCGCUAAUAGAUGGGCAUGCGUAUCAUCAGCUAGUUGGUAAGGUAAUGGCUUACCAAGGCGACGAUGAUUAGGGGUUCUGAGAGGAUAUCCCCCCACACUGGAACUGAGACACGGUCCAGACUCCUACGGGAGGCAGCAGUAGGGAAUAUUGGGCAAUGGAGGCAACUCUGACCCAGCCAUGCCGCGUGAAGGAAUAAGGCCCUAUGGGUCGUAAACUUCUUUUAUCAUAGAGUAACCGCAGGGACGUGUCCCUGCCUGCAAGUAUAUGAUGAAUAAGCACCGGCUAACUCCGUGCCAGCAGCCGCCGUAA
rnacentral:rRNA from 1 species